ensembl:lncRNA
UACAGUGGGUGACUUUUAUGGGAAUCCAUAUUGUAUAUAUGAUGGGUAUGAAGGAAUAGGUAUAGUUAUUGAAAUGUUGAAUACAUGGGUGUUGCUUGAGGAUUGUAGCUUGGUGGAAGUGAGUGGAAUUGGAUUGUGGAUAGAAUGGGAAUUAGUGGGAAUAAAUAAAUAAGGUAAUUGACAGAUUGAAUAAAGCACAGUUAUAUAUUGCAUAGCAUAUAAUACAUUUUGGCGAUUGCUCCUGGCUGGUGGUAAUCUGUGAGUUUCACACAUGGGAUUAUUUACAGUUUAAGAAUAUGAAAUUCGGUUUGCUGGUGAAAUACAUGUGUGAUACAUAUUGGGUUGAAAGGUUGAUUAAGUAGUGGAUGAAUGCUGAGAGUUGGAUAGUUAGAAUGGGCUAUAGAUAAGGACUUUUAAAUUAAUAAAUGAGGGUUUAAAACAUUAGAUAAUUUCUUGAAAUAAAAUUAAAAACAGGGUAAUUACAUAUGCAUUUAUAGAUUGAGGGAAUAGGAAAAUGGAUAGACAAAAGGAAAGUGGUUUGAAGAAGGUACAUGGAAAGUAAGAAUGAGGAGGUAAAUGGGAAGUUAAAGAGAUGGAGAAAGAGGGGUAGGAUAUGUAAUGUUUCACUUAUUAGUUUUCACAUACAGAUGAGAGGAGUGACAGAGAGAAGGGGAGCCGUGUGCAAGUGUCAGUGGAACCUGAAAGCAAGCCAGGUUGAGGAUGGAACUAGAUGGCUGAUGGCUGAUCUAAGGUUGAUGUGAGGAAUUGUGUGGGGUUUGUUGUUAACACCUUGAAAGUAUAUAUGAAAAUAACAUGGUUUUUAAGUGUCUCUUACAGGUUUGGUGGAAACAUUAAAAGUGAUUCGGGCUGAGGUGCAGCAGGAACAAGAUGGUUUAUUUGUGUAUUUGGUUUGUUUGUAUUUGCUUUGGGGGAUGGGCGAUAGGAAGGAGUGACAUGCCCUUUGAAGUAUUGGUAUAUGGUGUGAGUGGGGUGAUUUUAGUAUUCAAGCCAGGUUAUAGUAACCAAGUUAAGAUCCUUUGUCAUUAUAAAUGUGACUAAGGGGGGUGAGUUUUUAUGCUUUGAUAAGCCACGUGGGCAGGGUUUCCUGUCAGAUAGUGUUUCAGCAAUUCAUUUAUAGCCAAACUUAGUGAUAAAGAUAUUAUGUACAUAUGUGAUGAUAUUAGUUAAUGGGAUAAGACCAAAUUGAUUUAAAAGAGGGGUAAACUGCAGGCUUGGUAAACUAUUGAGCUGUUAUUGUGGCCACAUGACAACUCUAUACAUGUUAUCUGCCUUGUCCAUUUGCA